UGCCAUUGGACUUGAUGGCUGUGGAAGAAAGAGUGAGGCUGAGGGCUUUAUGCAACUCUACCUCACUUAAAUCCAAUUUACCCAUGACUCAUAAUAUCACCCAGAUAUAAUUGGCUCUCUUCAAAAGUAAUGAACAAAUAAUAAAAAUAAAAACAAUACUAGGUAAAGGAACAAAUUAAGAUUAUAAAUAUACUCAGUGCUUAUAUAUUCUGCAAUUGCUUUUCUUGUAAUUUUCUAGGAUUCAAUUUGGACAAUAGAAGAAUACCAUUCAUGCUUUAUUGGAAUGAGCCUACUACCUUAUGAAGAGUGUGUCCUUAUGAAGUCCUUAUGAAGAAUGUGUCAUAAGUAUAGCAAGAACUGAGUCAAUUAAUGGGUGGAAUGCAAUAUUGAAAAAUCCAACUGAUGUUUCCAUGGAACUCCAAGAACUUAGCUCCUUAAAGACCUAUUGAAGCCAUUUAGUAUACAGAGGAAGCCAAAACUGACUGUGUCUGCAGAGACAAGUGAACUGGAGAAUGGGGUGGCUAUUCAACUGAAUUCAGCAAGUAUUGUGAUUCCUUACUAUAAUCAUCAAGGGAAUUGUAAUUCCAGUGACAAAAUAAAAAGCAGGAAAGCAAUAACAUCCUUGGUUCCUGAGUUCGCAACCAACUAGACUUGGACUCUUUGGGAAGGUGAUGCAACAGAUCUCUUCCCUUUCCUGAAAUUUUGUCAUAGAAGAUUUACAUUUAUAAAAUUGAUAUCUUCAGGAUAAGUUUCAUACUUUAGAGGAACAGAUUUCUUUAAAAGAUGCAUUUUCUAAGCAUUCAAUUUGGUCCCAUUGCCCGGAAAAAGAUUCUACAGCAGGCCAAGUCAGUGCUGUUCCCAAGUCCCUCUCAUGGGAUUUAACUAUGGUGGAAGAAAGACCACCUGAAUACCACUGAGCUCGUGCCCUACCUCAACUGCCACGUUGAAUUUGUGCCCUCCUCAUGGCUCCACACCUGGCCUUGCCUGUGCAGCUCCUAACGCUGGAUGUGGCCAGCGUCUUGGCUGAGUCAUUAUCUCCCCUUCAACCCCAAUACAAUCAGGAAGCCACUGUAGCUUUUUCAACUGUUUACUUUCUGGACAGUUUCUAUCAACUGGACCUACUUUCUGGGUCCUGAGCACCUUACUGAUACUGUCCCCAGGCACUCAACCCAAAGACCCCAGUCAGAAAUGGCUGACCACCAAGCUCCAUUUAGAGAUUUCUGCAAGGUAGUUAAGGGCAAAUUUAGAAGGAGCAUUUGCCCUGCCUACCCAACUGAGGAAGAACUCCAUUUACAAAUGGAAAGUUAGAUUCUAUCCAGCCUUGAUCCCUGGGGCCCUGGUUCAUUUGAUCCAAAAAACGGGGAAAGCUAUUGGCUAUCCUUUUUGGAUACAAUAUUAAAUUUAAAAAUGGAUAUAAUUCUUUUUUGGU